AUGCUUCCAGGAAAAGCCUCUAAGCUUCAGAUUGUAAGGAAUCGUACCCCAAACCGACACAGGUGGUCGGGUAGAGAAUACCAAGGCGCUUGAGAGAACUCGGGUGAAGGAACUAGGCAAAAUGGUACCGUAACUUCGGGAGAAGGUACGCUCUUGAUGGUGAAGUCCCUCGCGGAUGGAGCUGACGAGAGUCGCAGAUACCAGGUGGCUGCAACUGUUUAUUAAAAACACAGCACUGUGCAAAAUCGUAAGAUGACGUAUACGGUGUGACGCCUGCCCGGUGCCGGAAGGUUAAUUGAUGGGGUUAGACUUCGGUCGAAGCUCUUGAUCGAAGCCCCGGUAAACGGCGGCCGUAACUAUAACGGUCCUAAGGUAGCGAAAUUCCUUGUCGGGUAAGUUCCGACCUGCACGAAUGGCGUAAUGAUGGCCACGCUGUCUCCACCCGAGACUCAGUGAAAUUGAAAUCGCUGUGAAGAUGCAGUGUACCCGCGGCUAGACGGAAAGACCCCGUGAACCUUUACUACAGCUUGGCACUGAACAUUGACCCUACAUGUGUAGGAUAGGUGGGAGGCUUUGAAGCACGUACGCCAGUAUGUGUGGAGCCGUCCUUGAAAUACCACCCUUGUAGUGUUGAUGUUCUAACGUCGACCCCUUAUCGGGGUUGCGGACAGUGCCUGGUGGGUAGUUUGACUGGGGCGGUCUCCUCCCAAAGAGUAACGGAGGAGCACGAAGGUGGGCUAAUCACGGUUGGACAUCGUGAGGUUAGUGCAAUGGCAUAAGCCCGCUUGACUGCGAGAAUGACAAUUCGAGCAGGUGCGAAAGCAGGUCAUAGUGAUCCGGUGGUUCUGAAUGGAAGGGCCAUCGCUCAACGGAUAAAAGGUACUCCGGGGAUAACAGGCUGAUACCGCCCAAGAGUUCAUAUCGACGGCGGUGUUUGGCACCUCGAUGUCGGCUCAUCACAUCCUGGGGCUGAAGUCGGUCCCAAGGGUAUGGCUGUUCGCCAUUUAAAGUGGUACGCGAGCUGGGUUUAGAACGUCGUGAGACAGUUCGGUCCCUAUCUGCCGUGGGCGUUGGAAGAUUGAAGGGGGCUGCUCCUAGUACGAGAGGACCGGAGUGGACGAACCUCUGGUGUUCGGGUUGUGUCGCCAGACGCAUUGCCCGGUAGCUAAGUUCGGAAUCGAUAACCGCUGAAAGCAUCUAAGCGGGAAGCGAGCCCUGAGAUGAGUCUUCCCUGAUACUUUAAGUAUCCUAAAGGGUUGUCGGAGACUACGACGUUGAUAGGUCAGGUGUGUAAGUGCUGUGAGGCAUUGAGCUAACUGAUACUAAUUGCCCGUGAGGCUUAACCAUACAACACCCAAGGGGUUU
rnacentral:rRNA from 1 species